CUUGCAUGCUGGCUGCCUCUUCUGCCAUGGCUGUGGGGCCUGGCUGGCCCCUGUGCUCUCGGACAGCUGGGCUUGUGGCCGUUGGCCCAGCUAGCAAGGAAAGGGCCUUGACUUGUGCCUGGCGUGUGGCAGACCCUCCGCUCACGGGAGGUGACUGAGUACAGGACUGAGUUGGAGCUCACUAACCCCAGUUUCCAGAAUCGUGUGUAUGUGGUGCCCAUCCUGGGGGCUGUAUUUUUUUUUUUUUUUUUUAAGACAACAAAAGAAAAAAGAAGAGUAUCUUUCUCAAGGUGUAAGUAACUCUUCACAUCUAUUCCCAGGGCACAGAGGAGUGAGCAUUCUCGAUGUUUUCUCGAGGUUUCUUAGAGGAAAUCUCUCACCCAUUCUUGCGGGUGUGGCACUUGGCUGCUGGGAACAGACACAGUUUAUCUUGCAGAAAAACUGUUUUGCAAGAGGUUUCCCACAAUUAUGGUCUAGGGAGGGUCCCUGCCAGCUUUUCUUAGUCACUUGGGCUUCGGAGGGGGAAGGUGGGUUUUUUUUUUGUUGUUCUCUCUUUUUUUUUAAUCUAAAGGCGAGAGCCAUCUGGGAGCAGGCACACAUGGGUAAUUACCCGAGUUAGGAGACAAAAGGACUGCUGAUCAGCAGUUCUCAGUGCCGCUGCAGGUGGCUGAUGGCUUUUGGUGGAAUGUCACCAAGUGCUCAGGCUGGGCGGUGAGUCAGAAAUCCUUAGGUCACUUGCGGUUUUCUUUCAUGGUUUUGCUGUGACUAUUAACUUGUUUUUACUUAACAAGAAAAACAGGUGCCUGGGUGUCUGUUUGAAACCGUGUUGCCCUGCUCUUAACAGCUUACUGUAGUCACAUGGCAGCCCCGGUUCGGUUGGCACUAAAUGGAUAACUGAAAAUAAGGAGUAGCCAGCAAGCCCUUUAGACAGGGCAUCCCUGGGCACCAGGACCAGGCCUGGAACCUCAGAUCCUUGUGAGGUUCCUGAGGAGGGAAAGUGAGCUUGGAUUAAUCAAUUGGGCGAUGGACUUGAGCUGCCCACUUGUUGCCCUCGCAGGGCCCUCUGGAGCGAAUGCCCCCCGUGGAAGGGAGCACGUGUGCUCUGACCUUGGCUUUGAUUUUUUACAGGCCACCUGGAUGGGCUGACGGCUCUCACCUUGAGUUCCGUAGCCUUUGGGAUGGAAAUAAAAGCAGCGCAUUUGUCCAAACACUGCUUUGGGGCGUCUUUCCACCUGGCCAGGCAGCCAGGCAUGGAAACACUCUUGUGUUUCCAGGACCUGAGGAUGCACAGGACCUCCCGCCUCCCCGGCUGCAGGUGCUGGCUGCUUCCCUCGGGUCCUAAGACCUGAAAGGAUGAGUUUCAGGCUUUACUGAAAAGACCUUCAGAAAUGAGAAUAUUUGGCUUCAAUCAAGUCUGCUCUGUUUGCAGGGAUGAAAGAGAAGGAAGGUGCCAGCUUGAACCCGUGGCCUUGGGACUGGAAGUGGCUGGGACCUGCCAGAAAAACAUAGACCUUUUUUACCAGGAGUUAAAAGUGGCCCCAGAUGUCCUCCUUUUGGCCUGUCCUCACUGUACCUGCAUUAUAACUAUGUUCAUGACCUUUAGUCACGGAGAACGGCAGGAUUAGGGUUUUCAUCCGCUGCUGGCAGCACAGGUGGUUGGGCUGCCAGUGAUUGCCCAGCGUGUAACUUCCCAGUUGUCUGCCACCAAGCCAAGGCUGCAGGGUCCCCUGGAAAUUGUGGGGUGCUUGGACUUUUCCCUCUGUGGCUGGGAGCUCCCAAGAUUUGCUGCCUAGCCAUGUCACCACAGCUGGCAGGAAGAAUCAGGGUGGCUGGAUGAGUCAGACACUCUAGGAUAUUAGAGAUGAAUGUCACAGAGGUCAUGUCUGAGGGAUACGGCAGGCACAGCACUGCAACCAGCUGCUCUCCAGGAGGUGCCAGUGGUACAACCGGGAGAAAGAGUGGCUGCAAGUCCCCCUUGCUUUCUUCCCUGCUGUGUCCCCAGUCCUCGAACGUGCAUAGUACACAGUAGUUAAUUCAUUGGUGGGAUGAAUCCAUUUUCUUCUUUUUGGGAGGAAAGAGGCGGUGCAGGGGGGCACCUGUCAAUGCGUCACUCGUCUCUUUACAGGCUAUCUUUUAUCUUCCUGUCCCCAUAUGUGAUUAUUGGAGGGACGUGGAAUGGUGUAAGCAAGAGGGCUGUUGUCAAUGAAUGAGUAGAUCAGAUUGGGGCUCCUGGGCCCCUGCCCUGCCCUCGCCAACGGGUGGAUUGCCUGUGGGAAGCAGGGCUGGAGCGGGGCCUGCAGGAACCCUGGGCAAUUGGGCAAUGGUGGGGAAGCCGGCUGAUGCAAAUGACGAAACAAGUGGCUUGUGGAUAAAGUGUUCUCUCCAGCAUGUAUUUGCCAGAGGCUGAAAAUUCAUCAGGAUGAGGCCCAGCAUGUGCUGGAAGCUGCCCUUGCAGCAAGUGGGAGAUUCCUUCAGUAGCUGCAAUUCCACACUCAGGGAGCCUGUGGUCAAGAGGCCUCCGGUGGCCUCACUCCAGCCAACGAAGCCGGAAGGAGCUGCUAUGCAAAGGCUGACAGCUUUGAAAGUCUGAGCUUUCUCUUAGGUGCUGGGAGCCCCUUCAACUUCUGAGCGCGUGGAUGAGAUGAGGCUAGGUGGGGAGACGUCCACCUUGCUGGCCACACUCAUCACGUGCAGAGAUGGCUCUGUGACCUGGUCACCGGAGGCAUUUGUCAUGCUCAUGGGGACCAUGAAAACCCUGAGACCCGGAGGCUCAGGGUGAGAGGUGGACAAGGGUCUUAAAAUCCACAUGAGCUACUUAGGGUUCCCUUGAUUCACUCGCGUGGAUGGAGCACCUAUUGCACAUGAGUAACUGGACCAGGCUCUAAGGACAAAGCUGUUGCUGGUAACAGAUAAGAUCAGACGUCUGAACAGGAGCUGCUGUCACCUGCCCGGAGCCUGAAGGUGUUUCUUAGGGAAACAGGGGAGGGGCGGCCCUUAGAAACUGCCAACAGAAGAGAAGUGUUUAUUCUUUUAUUUAAAAAGUCCAGUCCCUGGUUUUUGUUGUUCCAUCUGGCGGUAGCUCUAGACGCAUAAUUGCCCCAACACGCUUGCCUUCCGCUUACCUGCUCAGCCUCAGCUUCCCAUCUAAGAUGGGCUUGGGCGCAACACGUGGAGGGUUGGUGCCCAGAAGAGGAAACAGGAGGAGAGGAGACCCCACAAAGCAGCCUGAUGGCGCCCCCUCCUCUGUCUAACUGGCUUCCAAGGAAACCAAGAGACAUCUGAUGAGCUGCGUUGUCUUUGCUUCAUUGAGUCUGGGGCCUCAGCUGCGCAGAUGGAAAGGCUGGUGUUGAUGCCAUGCUGAGGGCUGGAGUCAUCCAAAGACUCGUUUGUAUUUGUAGAAGUUGAUGCUGGUCAUCAGCUGGGAAUUCGGCUGGCACUGUUGGCCAAAACAACUAUGUGAGGCCUGAGCUUUCUUUCAGCAGGGCAGCCUCAGAGGGUCGGACUUCUUCUCUUGGGCUCAGGAUUCCAACCACAAGAUGGAAACUGCCUCACCUUUUUAUGACCCAGCUUUGGAAACCUGGUGUGGCACUUUAGCUGCAUGCUUUUGGUCAUAAGCAAGUCUCAAGCCUGCCUCUCGAGGAAAGGAAUCACAUCCCACCUCUUGAGGAAGGUUCUGGAAGAGCAUGUGGUGGGGACGUAUUCCUGUGGCCACCUUUGGAAACACACUCUGCCACAGAACAGAGAGAAGGGAACUGCCAACGUUCCCUAUUGUGUCUGUCUAGGUCUACCGGCAGCACCAGGUUGAGACGAGCAGAAGCUGGCGAGACAGCUCUCGGGAACAACCAGUGACAGAGAGGGUGGUGGGUUUCUCGUAUGUUUGAAAUACCCAUGUAGAGGGCAGGGGGCUCAGGGACCGUGGCUUUGGGAUAUUGUUUACUGGCUGCACGUUCUGUUCUGGACUCUUAAAUCUCAGCUCUUGCAUUAUGCGGCUAAGCAGCCCUCCCCUUUACAUUUUGGGCCCAAAAUACUGCCAGGAAGGGGUGGCAACAGUUUUCCAUGAAAAUGCCUUGUGCGGUGCCUGGGACCUAGUACAUGCCUGACAAAUAAGGCCAUUAUUAUCCUGGUCUGACUCUCUCAUAAUCUGUAAUGAGUGCUCCAGGCAGGGGAGCAACAGGCCCUUCUCUUUUCAGACCUAUCUGAAGAUGGAAAUACGUGAAGGAGGUUUCCACCUGACCACUGCCUUGCGGAUUUAAAAAGCUGACUCUCACUCGUAAAAAUUGCUGAGAGGCGAGGAGCUUGGUGAUAAUUUUAAUAUUCAGUGUCUAUUUAAAUAGGUAGAAAACUGCCUUAUUUUAAAUACUUUAUAUUCUAAGUACUUUUUUAUUAUGUUGUAUUGGGCAUCUGCUUCAUAAAUAUAUCUUAUGUGUGGUAAAUAUAAUUUUUUUUUAAAGUAUCUAUAUUCUAGGAUCCUGUCAUAUCGUUUUCUUGGGCCUGCGUGCUGGAUGUCCAUCACCAUUGCUGUAGGAAAGAAAGUUCAUUGGCUCCUCCACUAUCUGAACUAAACUGAAUGGAAAUAUCUCAAGGGCAGAGCAGAGCUCUACUGUGAUGCUUAAUUUUAUGUGUCAACUUGGCUAGGUGAUGGGACCCAGACAUUUGAUCAAAGACUAUUCCAGAUAUUUCUGUGAAGAUAUUUUUAAGGUGAGAUUAACAGUUAAGUCAGUAGACUUUGAGUAAAGCAGAUUACUCUCAAUAAUGUGGGUGGCCCUCAUCCAAUCGGUUGUAGGCCUUAAAAGAACAAAGACUGACCUCUCCCAAGGAAGACAGUGCUGCCAGCAGACUGCCUUCAGAUGUGAGCUGCAGCCAUAACUCUCCUGCGGGCCUCCAGCCUGCCAGCCUAGCUGCGGAUUUUGGACUUCACAGCCUCUGCAAAUGCGUGAGCCAAUUCCUUAAAAUAAAUCGGCUUUCUCUCUCUCCAUCCUAUUGGUCCUGUUUCUCUGACUAAUAUAGAUUUUGGUGCUGAGAGUUUUCCUAGAAGAACAGAAACUGAAGGGAGUUUUCUGAAUUGGUUCUGGGGUUUCUGGAAUUAGUUCUCUAAUCUGAUUACAUCUGAAGGACAAGUGGAAGCCGCUAGAAUCACCUCUACCAAGGAAAACCAAAAGCAGUAGCACGUGCCCAGGGGGCUGCAGAAAUUAGUGCCACCAUCAAGGACUUGAGAGAUGCAGGGGUGGGGAUUCCCACCACAUCCCCAUUCAACUCUCCUGUUUCGUCUCUGCAGAAGACAGAUGGAUCCUGGAGAAUGAUAGUGGAUUAUUCUAAGUGUAACCAGGUGGUGACCUCACAGCUGCUGUGCCAGAUGGUUUCAUUGCUUGAGUAAAUUAAAACACUCCCUGGUACCUGGUGUCCAGCUAUUGAUCUGGUAAAUCCUUUCUCUCCAUACUUGUCCGUAAGAUUCACUAGAAGUAGUUUGUUUUCAGCUGGCGAGGCCAGCAACACAUCUUCACUGUUCUAGCUCAGGGCUAUGUCAACUCUCCAGCUCUGUGUCAUGAUUUAGUUCACAGAGAUCUUGAUCGCCUUUCCCUUCCACAAGAAAUCACACUGAUCCAUUACACUGAUGACCUUAUGCUGAUUGGACCCAGCGAGUAAGAAGUAGCCACUACGCUAAACUUAUUGGUAAAAUGUUUGUGUGGCAGGGAGUGGGAAUAAACUAAAAAAAAAUUUAGGGGCCUUCUACUUCAGUGAAAUUUCUUGGGGUGCAGUGGUGUGGGGCAUGUUGAGAUAGCCCUUCUAAGGCGAAGGUUGCAUCUGGCCCAUCCUACAACCAAAAUAGAGGCACAGCGGCCAGGGGGCCUCUUUGGAUUUUGGAGGGAACAUACUCCUCCUUUGGGUGUGCUACUCCAGCCCAUUUACGGAGUGACCCAAAAAGCUGCUAGUUUUGAGUGGGGACCAGAACAAGAGAAGGCUCUGCAAUGGGUCCAGGCUGCUGCGCUCGCUGCUCCGUCACUUGGGCCAUAAGAUGAAGCAGACCCAAUGGUGAUGGAGGAUGUCAGUGGCUGACAGGGAAGCUGUUGGGAGCCUUGGCAGACCCCUCUAGGUGAAUCACAGUGCAGGCCUUUCAGAUUUUGGAGUGAAGCCCUGCUAUCCUCUGCAGAUAGCUACUCUUUCUUUGAGAAAUAGUUCUUGGUCUGCUACUGGGUCUUAGUAGAGACUGAAUGUUUAACCAUGAGCCACCAAGUUACCAUGCGACCUGAGCUGCCCAUCAUGAACUGGGUAUUAUCUGACCCACCAAGUCAUAAAUUUGGAUGUGCACCGCAAUAUUCCAUCAUCAAAUGGGAGUGGUACCUACAUGAGAGGGCCUGAGCAGUCCCUGAAGGCACAAACGUGUUAUAUGAAGAAGUGGCUCAGGUGCCCACGCUUCCCACUCCUGCGACACUACCUUUUCUCUCCCAGCCUGUGCCUGUGGCUUCAUGGGGAGUUCCCCACAGUCAGAGGAGAGUUGGGCCUGGUUUAUAGAUGGUUCCGGCAAUACGCAGGAAGCACCUGGAAGUGGACAGCUGCAGCUCUACAGCCCUUCCUGGGACAUCGUCUCCGUGGCCAGAUCUUCAGGCAGUGCACCUGGUGGUUCAUUUUGCUUGGAAAGAGAAAUGGCCAGAUGUGCGAUUAUAUACUGAUUCAUGGGCUGCGGCCAACGGUCAGGGACUCAGAAGGAACGUGAUUGGAAAAUUGGUGACAGAGAUCCAGGAGGAGAUGUGUGGCUAGAUGUCUCUGAAUGGGCAAAGAACAUGAAGAUAUUUACAUCCCAUGUGAAUGCUCACCAAAGGGUGACCUCAGCAGAGGAAGAUUUUAAUAAUCAAGUGGAUAGGAUGACCAAAUUUCUGGAUACCAGUCAGCCUCCUUCCCAGACACCCCUGUCAUCACCAAAUGGGCUGAUGAACAAAGUGGUCAUGGUGGCAGGGAUGGGCUCAGCAACACGGGCUUCCACUCACCAAAGCUGACCUGGUUACAGCUGAUGCUGAGUGACCAGCUGCUAGCAGCCGACACCAACACUAAGUCCCUGAUGUGGCAUCAUUUCCCGGGGUGAUCAUCCGGCUACCUGGUGGCAGGCUGAUUACACUGGACCCCUUCCAUCAUGGAAAGGGCAGGGUUUUGUUCUUACUGGAACAGACACUUACUCUGGGCAUGGAUUUGCCUUCCUUGCACACAAUGUGUCUGCCAAAACUACCAUGCAUCGUGGACUUACAGGAUGCCUUAUCCACUUCAUGGUGUUCCACACAGCAUUGCUUUUUUUAAAAAAUUAUUUUGUUGGGGUCAUAUUGGCUUACAACAUUGUGUAAA